CAAAAUGCUCUAAAGUAAAGUAAUUAUAACAAUGCAUAUCCGUUGUGAUUAAAAAGAGAAUUCAUGAGUGUGUGAAAAAGUGAAUAAUGGGUAGGUGUGAAAGCUUAGGUUAAUUAAAGAUUCAAUUUAUAAAGCU